rnacentral:rRNA from 1 species
GACGGAGGAUGCAAGCGUUAUCCGGAAUGAUUGGGCGUAAAGCGUCCGCAGGUGGCAGUUCAAGUCUGCUGUCAAAGACCGGGGCUUAACUUCGGAAAGGCAGUGGAAACUGAACAGCUAGAGUAUGGUAGGGGCAGAGGGAAUUCCUGGUGUAGCGGUGAAAUGCGCAGAUAUCAGGAGGAACACCGGUGGCGAAGGCGGGUCUCUGGGCAACUACUGACGCUGAGGAGCGAAAGCGUGGGGAGCGAACAGG